CACGUAGUUUGAUCAUGGCUCAGAACGAACGCUGGCGGCAUGCCUAACACAUGCAAGUCGAACGAGACCUUCGGGUCUAGUGGCGCACGGGUGCGUAACGCGUGGGAACCUGCCUUUAGGUUCGGAAUAACUCAGAGAAAUUUGAGCUAAUACCGGAUAAUGUCUUCGGACCAAAGAUUUAUCGCCUUUAGAUGGGCCCGCGUUGGAUUAGCUAGUUGGUGGGGUAAAGGCCUACCAAGGCGACGAUCCAUAGCUGGUCUGAGAGGAUGAUCAGCCACACUGGGACUGAGACACGGCCCAGACUCCUACGGGAGGCAGCAGUGGGGAAUAUUGGACAAUGGGCGAAAGCCUGAUCCAGCAAUGCCGCGUGAGUGAUGAAGGCCUUAGGGUUGUAAAGCUCUUUACCCGAGAUGAUAAUGACAGUAUCGGGAGAAUAAGCUCCGGCUAACUCCGUG
rnacentral:rRNA from 1 species